GACGAACGCUGGCGGCGUGCUUAACACAUGCAAGUCGAACGGAAAGGCCCUGCUUUUGUGGGGUGCUCGAGUGGCGAACGGGUGAGUAACACGUGAGUAACCUGCCCUUGACUUUGGGAUAACUUCAGGAAACUGGGGCUAAUACCGGAUAGGAGCUCCUGCUGCAUGGUGUGGGUUGGAAAGUUUCGGCGGUUGGGGAUGGACUCGCGGCUUAUCAGCUUGUUGGUGGGGUAGUGGCUUACCAAGGCUUUGACGGGUAGCCGGCCUGAGAGGGUGACCGGGCACAUUGGGACUGAGAUACGGCCCAGACUCCUACGGGAGGCAGCAGUGGGGAAUAUUGCACAAUGGGCGGAAGCCUGAUGCAGCAACGCCGCGUGCGGGAUGACGGCCUUCGGGUUGUAAACCGCUUUCGCCUGUGACGAAGCGUGAGUGACGGUAAUGGGUAAAGAAGCACCGGCUAACUACGUG
rnacentral:rRNA from 1 species